AUGUGUCACCAACUUCUCCGUGCUAUCGUCCACUUGUCACUCAGCUUCACCGCACUAUCGUCCAGGUGUCACUCAGCUUCUCCUUACUAUCAUCCAGGUGUCACUCAGCUUCUCCGCACUAUCGUCCAGGUGUCACUCAGCUUCUCCGCACUAUCGUCCAGGUGUCACUCAGCUUCUCCUUACUAUCGUCCAGGUGUCACUCAGCUUCUCCCAAGACUCAUCGUCCAGGUGUCACCUGCCAGCUUCUCCCAAGACCAUCGGCCCAGGUGUCACUCAGCUUCUCCGCACCAUCGGCCCAGGUGUCACUCAGCCCCGCACCAUCGCCCAGGUAAGCCACCAGCUUCUCCGCACUAUCGUCCAGGUGUCACUCAGCUUCACUGCACUAUCGUCCACUUGUCACUCAGCUUCACUGCACUAUCGUCCAUGUGUCACUCAGCUUCUCCUUACUAUUGUCCAUGUGUCACUCAGCUUCCACGCUAUCGUCCACUUGUCACCAGCCCGCUGCCAUCGCCCAGGGUGUCACUCAGCUUCCCGCACUCAUCGCCCAGGUGCGUCACCAGCCUCUGCACUAUCGUCCAGGUGUCACUCAGCUUCUCUGCACUAUCGUCCAGGUGUCACUCAGCUUCACUGCACUAUCAUCCAGGUGUCACUCAGCUUCUCCUUACUAUUGUCCAUGUGUCACCAGCCCGCAUAUCGCCCACUUGUCACCAGCUUCACCUCCUCGCACUAUCAGCCAGGUGUGUCACUUCCACUGCACUAU
rnacentral:lncRNA from 1 species